AGCGGAGCCAAUUUGGAACGCAAGUACGACUUCUUUGAUGCCAUUGAGGACAUGUAUUCCAACCUCUGUUUGUCCUAUUCACUUCCAUCUCUUUUACGUUUCUGUUUUUUGGUCAAUUAGGCAAUCUUAGUGAUUUUGGCUACUGCUUUGACCAAGUCAUCCCCAGGGAUAACAUAAUUGACAGCCAAAAAUCUUUGACAAACAGCAUUUUACUUGUCAAAAAUCCAAAA
rnacentral:lncRNA from 1 species